GAUGAACGCUGGCGGCGUGCCUAAUACAUGCAAGUCGAGCGAACGGACGAGAAGCUUGCUUCUCUGAUGUUAGCGGCGGACGGGUGAGUAACACGUGGAUAACCUACCUAUAAGACUGGGAUAACUUCGGGAAACCGGAUCUAAUACCGGAUCAUAUUUUGAACCGCAUGGUUCAAAAGUGAAAGACGGUCUUGCUGUCACUAAUAGAUGGAUCCGCGCUGCAUUAGCUAGUUGGUAAGGUAACGGCUUACCAAGGCAACGAUGCAUAGCCGACCUGAGAGGGUGAUCGGCCACACUGGAACUGAGACACGGUCCAGACUCCUACGGGAGGCAGCAGUAGGGAAUCUUCCGCAAUGGGCGAAAGCCUGACGGAGCAACGCCGCGUGAGUGAUGAAGGUCUUCGGAUCGUAAAACUCUGUUAUUAGGGAAGAACAUAUGUGUAAGUAACUGUGCACAUCUUGACGGUACCUAAACAGAAAGCCACGGCUAACUACGUG
rnacentral:rRNA from 1 species